AAUAUGGGACAAUGGGGGCAACCCUGAUCCAGCCAGGCCGUGUUUGUGAAGAAGGNCUNNGGAUUNANAAGCACUUUAAGUCGNNNNNAAGGGUUGUAGGUUAAUACCCUGCAAUUUUGACGUUACCAACAGAAUUAGCACCGACUAACUUCGUGCCAGCAGCCGCGGUAAUACGAAGGGUGCAAGCGUUAAUCGGAAUUACUGGGCGUAAAGCGCGCGUAGGUGGUUCGUUAAGUUGGAAGUGAAAGCCCCGGGCUUAACCUGGGAAUUGCUUUCAAAACUGACGAGCUAGAGUACGGUAGAGGGUAGUGGAAUUUCCUGUGUAGCGGUGAAAUGCGUAGAUAUAGGAAGGAACAUCAGUGGCGAAGGCGACUACCUGGACUGAUACUGACACUGAGGUGCGAAAGCGUGGGGAGCAAACA
rnacentral:rRNA from 1 species